rnacentral:rRNA from 1 species
AUGUCCGGCGGUGGGUGCAGCAUCCGCGCAAUCUGGAUCCUCACGCCAAACGACGCGGUCGCCUUCUCCAGGCGGUUUGCAGUGGUGGAGAAGCGCUGGCGGGUCGCGUGGGAGGCGGAGGGGGUGGGGAAGGGCGCGGAGAUGCCGCUGCCGGCGGACUACGAGGUCGCCGCCGCGUUUGCCAACCGCCGGAGAAGGGAAGGCACGGCCCGUGGUUCUGGUAUCCGCACAAACUUAUCAUCUGUGGGGUUAGAUUCCUGGGUCGAUGAUCCAAUCACUCGCCACAUCAUAUCCCUUCAAAUUGACAAAGAGGAAGGGGGUGGGUUUAUGCUGUGGCCAGUAGUUCUUCAGAAACGUGGAAGUUAUUAUGUCCUUGUGCUGCCUUUGGUGGAUCCUCAGUCAUUUAAAGCAUUCGAGAGCCUAUUGAAAAGACCUGAUUGUGGGAGUUCAGCCAAAGAGAAUGGCAAUCUUUCUUCCAUUUUGCUCAAUCUUCCGUGCAUAACAGGGGCCUUUAUGGUUGCGAAUGUUAUUGGGGACAUAAUUACUGGUGAUGUUGCUGAACCAGAGGUGAUCGUUAGUUCGGGCCCCUCUGUUGGUGGACUGUUAGAUUCAUUGACUGGAAGCAUAGGUAUUACAGCCCGGUCAAAACCUAGCGCUGCACCUGUUGCAGCCCCAGUUGCAUCAGUUUCCUCGCCUGUUGGUGCUGCUCAAUCGGACUCUUUAAAAGGUGGUAUAAGACCUUUUGACAAGGAAUUACUACGAAGCUUCAUCAUCGGUGCUAUGCCUUUUGGCACACCUCAGGAUCUUAAUUAUGGCAAUGUUUCUUCGAUUAGAACAACUGGGUAUUCAGCUGAUCCUCUUCCGACAGACCAGAAGCAACCUGCCUGGAAGCCUUACCUAUACAAAGGGAGGCAACGGACUCUCUUUUCUAGCCUGGAGACUAUAAAUGCUGCACUAUAUGACCGUGAUGAUGUGCCAGAUUUCCUUUCCGUUUCGGGACAACUAACCUGUAGGGCUGAACUGGAAGGGUUACCUGAUGUUUCUUUGCCACUGACUGGGUUAAAAACUGCCCGUGUGGAGGUAUCAUCAUUCCACCACUGUGUUCAAGCUUCAGAGCCUACUGGUAAUAAGCAAUCUCUGCUAUUUCAACCACCACUAGGAAAUUUCGUUUUGAUGCACUAUCAAGCUCCAUGCAACAUCGAUCCACCUGUUAAAGGGUUCUACCAGUUGUCUAUGGUAUCUGAGAAUGAAGGUGCUUUUCUAUUUAAGCUGAGAUUGAUGGAGGGUUACAAGUCCCCGUUUCUUAUGGAAUUUUGCAUGGUCACAAUGCCAUUUCCUCGAAGAAGAGUUGCAUCAUAUGACGGAAAUCCAUCAGUUGGGACGGUUUCAAUGACAGAACAUUUAAUUGAGUGGAGAAUUGUUUCAAGUGGCCGGGGCCUCAGUGGUAGGAGCAUUGAAGCUACCUUCUCUGGUACUGUUAGAUUUCAUCCUAGAACAACGCAGCGAGUAAAUUCAUCAUUUCGGUCGGCCACAACCACCGCAUUUGCUGAAGAUAGUGAUUGUGAGCAAGAUAUCACUAAGAAUGGUGCCAACUUGGAUGACUACCUCAUGGAAAAAAUGAACAAAGACCUUCAAGCAGUUGACUUGGAAGAGCCAUUGUCUUGGCAGGCUUAUAAUUAUGCUAAGGUGUCGUUUAAGAUAGUUGGUGGCACCCUGUCUGGUCUUAUAAUCGACCCAAGAUCUGUAACCAUUUACCCUUCUGUCAAAGCCCCAGUAGAAUAUUCAAUGCAGGCCUCUUCUGGAGACUACAUACUAUGGAAUACCUUAGGAAAAUGUCCUUCUGCAGCUUUGCCAAAAGAAUUAUAA